GAGGAACACGUACACAACCUUCCUUCAAGCGGGGAAUAGCCCAGAGAAAUUUGGAUUAAUACCCCAUAAUAUAUUUGAUAAGGCAUCUUAUUAAUAUUAAAGCCUCGGCACUUGAUGAUGGGUGUGCGGCUGAUUAGAUAGUUGGCGGGGUAACGGCCCACCAAGUCUACGAUCAGUAGCUGAUGUGAGAGCAUGAUCAGCCACACGGGCACUGAGACACGGGCCCGACUCCUACGGGGGGCAGCAGUAAGGAAUAUUGGACAAUGGACGAAAGUCUGAUCCAGCCAUGCCACGUGAAGGAUUAAGGUCCUCUGGAUUGUAAACUUCUUUUAUAUGGGACGAAAAAAGGGCAUUCUUGUUCACUUGACGGUACCAUAUGAAUAAGCACCGGCUAACUCCGUG
rnacentral:rRNA from 1 species